UUGGCUUAGAAGCAGCCAUCCUUGAAAGAGUGCGUAAUAGCUCACUGGUCAAGUGAUCGUGCGCCGACAAUGUAGCGGGGCUCAAGCACACCGCCGAAGCCGCGGAUCCUCAACAAAUACCCUGUCGCUAUGCGGCCAGGGGUUGGGGGUGGUAGGGGAGCGUUGUGUACUGGGUGAAGCGGCCGAGUGAUUGUGUCGUGGACGGUACGCAAGUGAGAAUGCAGGCAUGAGUAGCGAUACUAGGGUGAGAAACCCUAGCGCCGAAUGACCAAGGGUUCCAGGGCUAGGCUAGUCCGCCCUGGGUGAGUCGGGUCCUAAGGCGAGGCCGACAGGCGUAGUCGAUGGAUAACCGGUUGAUAUUCCGGUACCGGCUGGUAACCGUCAAGUGUUGACUGAAAGGUACUAACCCACGCUAAAAACACGGCUGAAUGCCUUUUGGGUGUUUGGUUGUGGUUUUGGUUUGGGGACAGGCUUUCUUGGUAGGCAAGCGUGUGGAGUGACGCACAGUGGAAGCCUUCGCGAGGUGAUGGUUUAUCCUCGUUUAACCGUGUAGCUUACUGCUCAGGUAAAUCCGGGUGGUUUUAUGUGAGGCGGGAUGAUGACCAUCUUUUGGUGGGAAGUAGGGGUGAUCCUGUGGUGCCGAGAAAAGCUUCGACGCGAGGUUGUUAGCCGCCCGUACCCUAAACCGACACAGGUGGUCGGGCAGAGUAUGCCUAGGCGCACGAGAUAAUCAUGGUUAAGGAACUCGGCAAAAUGCCCCCGUAACUUCGGGAGAAGGGGGGCCUGAUACUUGAUGAAACCGUUUUUGGCUUUCUAGGGUUGAGGGUCGCAGAGACCAGGGAGAAGCGACUGUUUACUAAAAACACAGGUGCGUGCGAAGCCGUAAGGCGAUGUAUACGUACUGACGCCUGCCCGGUGCUGGAAGGUUAAGAGGAACCGUCAGCUGACUUUUUGUUGGUGAAGCGGUGAAUUUAAGCCCCAGUAAACGGCGGUGGUAACUAUAACCAUCCUAAGGUAGCGAAAUUCCUUGUCGGGUAAGUUCCGACCUGCACGAAUGGCGUAACGACUUCUCUACUGUCUCAACCAUGAACUCGGCGAAAUUGCAUUACGAGUAAAGAUGCUCGUUACGCGCAGAAGGACGGAAAGACCCCGGGACCUUUACUAUAGCUUGGUAUUGGUGCGCGUUAUAGCUUGUGUAGGAUAGGUGGGAGACUGUGAAGUGGUCACGCUAGUGAUUGUGGAGUCGUUGUUGAAAUACCACUCUGGUUAUAGCGUGUGCCUGAACCUUGGCCCGUGAUCCGGGUUAGGGACAGUGCCUGGUGGGUAGUUUAACUGGGGCGGUUGCCUCCUAAAUUGUAACGGAGGCGCUCAAAGGUUCCCUCAUCCUGGUCGGUAACCAGGUGUUGAGUGUAAGUGCACAAGGGAGCUUGACUGCGAGACUGACAGGUCGAGCAGGUACGAAAGUAGGAACUAGUGAUCCGGCGAUCCCGUGUGGGUGGGUCGUCGCUCAACGGAUAAAAGGUACCCCGGGGAUAACAGGCUGAUCCUGCCCAAGAGUCCAUAUCGACGGCAUGGUUUGGCACCUCGAUGUCGGCUCGUCGCAUCCUGGGGCUGGAGCAGGUCCCAAGGGUUGGGCUGUUCGCCCAUUAAAGCGGUACGCGAGCUGGGUUUAGAACGUCGUGAGACAGUUCGGUCCCUAUCCUCUGCGCGCGUUGGAAACUUGAGAAGGGCUGUCCCUAGUACGAGAGGACCGGGACGGACGAACCUCUGGUGUGCCAGUUAUCCUGCCAGGGGUAUGGCUGGUUUGCUACGUUCGGGAUGGGUAACCGCUGAAAGCAUCUAAGCGGGAAACUAGCUUCGAGAUUAGGUUUCCGUCCCAUUGUUUGGGGGGAGGUUCCCGGUAGAUUACCGGGUUGAUAGGCUAGGAGUGUAGACAUUGUAAAGUGACCAGCUUACUAGUACUAAUUGACCGAUAACUAACAAUA
rnacentral:rRNA from 1 species